AGAGAAGCAGUGCAGGAAGCUUGGGAGAAGCUUGGCGGUCAUAAGCUUGAGCUCACCUAUCAGGUAGAGAGCUUCCACACGCUCCUGGGAAUUUCCUUGACCUAGCUUGACCCUGUAAGGCACAAGUUGCUUUCCUUUCACCUCCUUAAACUUUCAGUACCUAACCCCCAACCCCCACUAAUGCCCUCAUGAUAAAAUCCGGGUUCUGUAGGCUGUCAAUCCCAUUCAGCCUUAUGCUCAUGAGAUAAGUUUUACUGGGUACAGAGCUCGAUUGUCUUCUUUACUUGAAUCCCUAAUACAUAGCUGUUCAGUAAUUAGGUAAUGCAGGGCUUUCAGUUACACUGAAUGACUGAAUAAAGGAAAAUGUCAACUUGCACCUCUUUUCACAGUCAAGUUCUCU
rnacentral:lncRNA from 1 species